GCUUUUCCCCGGCUUCGUAAAGUAGUAGCAUAUUGCUAAGCGGAAAAGUUAACGGCGAUAGUCAAAUGUAGCAGCAUUAUUUUAAUUCUCUGUAACUAGCAGACAUAUCAGUGGCCACUGUGGAAUCAACACUACCCAGGUGGGCUGUUUUCAAGUGUAGUAUCGUCUCAAAAUAGCACCACAGUCCUUACGUCUGCUGUUUUACAUCAAAAAUAAUACCAGCACGGUCCGAGACGAGGGGAAAAAUGCCAUCGAGAAAUCACCUUGAUAAAAUCGGGAGGAAGAAAAAGAAGAGGUGGACAGAGGACGCCAUGGAGCGUGCACUGAUAGAGGUCAAGUCAGGCAGGUGCACAGUGAGACAAGCCGCCAAGGAGUUUGGAGUCCCUAAAUCUUCACUGGGGGACAGAGUCAGUGGACGGGUGACCCCUGGGAGCCGUAGCGGCCCGGCUCAGCUUAUAACAUCUGCUGAUGAGGAGUUGUUGGUCGAGUUCUCCUUAUACAUGUCCAGGCAUGGAUUCCCACUUACAAAGCAGCAGCUGGUGUCCUUCGCAUCGUCAAUUUAUAAGCGGCAACACCGGAGGGUGGCAUUUUCCAAACUGGGCCAGACAUGGUGGCUCAAUUUUAGAAAGAGACAAGAGAAAAACAUCACUAUUCAGCCAGCAGACAAUGUUGUCCGUGGGAGGACUGUGUCAGUGAGAAAGGAAGCAGUAGAUCAGUUUUUUCACCUCCUGAGGACUGUUGUAGAUGCUCAUGAGCUCAUAGACAAGCCUCACCAAAUUUUCAACUGCAAUGACACAGACUUUCAGCUGAGUAGGAAGAGGGUGACUCUCCCCAAAUCUGUCGGUCUAGGCUACAAGCCAGCGCCAGGCUCCAGGGACCAUGUCUCCGUCUUGGCUUGCUUUAAUGCGGUUGGAGAGGACAUCCCCCCAUUUAUAAUCUACUCAAAGGCCUAUCCAGGGGGAGUAUGCUACAAGACACAAGGACCACCGAAUGCCCUAUACGGGUGGUCAGACUCGGGAUGUAUCAAUUCAGACCUCUUUAAGAAAUGGUUCCUCAAACAUUUUCUCGUGCACGCACCAAAGGAGCGUCCACUGCUGCUGAUUUUCGAUGGCCACAAGUCACCCGUGAACCUGGAGGUGGUGGAAACAGCUCGUAAGGAGGAUGUCAUUCUUCUGUGCCUCCCACCUCAUUGCUCCCACAUCCUCCAGCCACUCAAUGACGGUCUCUUUGUGGUCCUCAAGCAGCACUUUGCUUCAUUCCUAGGCGACGGCUACACUACUGACACCCACUUUGCAGUUAGCAAAAAGGAGUUCUCAGGGGUUUUCAAAGGAACAUAUCAGGUAGCAAAGGAGGAGGAAGGUGUGAGAAUUGUGAAGGAAGGCUUUAGGAAAUCUGGGAUCUACCCACUGAACCCCUUCACCAUCUGUGACAGACACAUGAUAUCAGCCCACCACCCUGGCCAGAUAGCUGCACCCUCCUUGUCAACACCAGUGCCGGGAGUGCACACUGUAGGAGACCUCACAGAUGCUGGGCCGUCUUCCUAAUUCAUCGCUAUAAAAAUGAAAGUGUGAUUGACUGCAUAAUUGAGCAAAGCAGAAAUGAACACAGGCUCGUUCUGUCUUUCAAAAUACUGAAUUAAUUACAGUCCUGUUUUUUUAAUAUAGUGAACCACCUCCUGCUGCCUCCCUGCAGAGAGCCCUGUUUGAGGAAGGCUUGCAUUGUUAUUAAUUACUACUCAACAAUGAGCUCAGUUUUAGUUAUCUGGUAAUAAUGUUUGAAUGAUGCACAACUGUGGUUUUCAAUGGGUUGGGAGUCCCAAGGUGAACAUGAUUUUCAAAAGGAUAUUAAAAGAAAAAUAGAGGAAAUAUUUCUGCUUAACAAAAAUCUGUAAUUUCUCUUCAUAAAUGCUUCCAUCUUCUUGUGAAUUAUUGGAUGGCAAGCCAUUUAAAUUAAGUGACCCAUAAAAGAAAAACACUUGCAAAGCACUCACAAGUUGCUUCAGCCUAGGGGAUUGUGAGCAAAAGGACAUUUGUAGAUAUUCAGUGCCAUCUUUUUUUGGUAUUGCUGGCCAGUCAGGUAGCGAAGCUAACCAUCAUUGGUAAGGGGCAUGAUUUCAGUUUAGUGGUCUCUGACAGCAAGUGAGGGAGGGGAGGCUGUGAGGUGUGAGUUGCCCGAGCAGUUCUGCACAGAUAUAACACCGGUGCUUCACUCUGUCAUUUGUUUUAUGUAUCUAAGUAAUGUGACAAAUUCACUCGAUUAUCUCAAACACACUGGAACGGAUAAAAGAAUGGAUUUAAAGCUUGGGCACAUUUUCAUAUGUUAUCUGUUGUAGACGUCUGAUAACUACACUUUAUGCUGUGCAAGAUGUCUCUGAAGCACAAUCAAGCCUCUUAACUACCAGACUGAUUUUGAGUGGAAGUUGGAACCAUUUAUUGAAGGAUGUGUCAUCAACAGAUGAUGCAGCUGUAGAAUAUGAUACACCUACUGCUGUUGUCAUGGUUUUCUUUGGAGGUCAAAGAAAAUAUGUCCAUUUUUGGUUCCAACGGUUGUUGUCUUUUUUUCCCUAAAUAGUUUAAAAUUGUACAUGUGAUUCUGUUGUUCCUUUACUUACAUCUACUGGCCUCUUUGUUAGGUACGCCUGUUUAGCUUCUCAUUAAUGCAUAUAUCAAGUCAGCCAAUCACAUGGCAGCACUGUGCUAUCAUGUUAAUGUAGAUCAUAAUCUCAGGAAGGUUUCCAGCAUGUUGUUGAAUCUAUGGUAUGAAUAAUUAAGACAGUUCUGGAGGAAAAGGGGUCCAACCCAGUACAAGCAAGGUGUACAUAAUAAAGUGGCCUGUGAACAUAAGUAUCCUGAAUAAUUGUGAACACAGAAACUGAUAUAAAAGUAAACCCAAGACCUUUUUAAAUAAUUUGCUUCUUUCUGUUCACCUGGAAGAAUGAACCCUACGUGAUCUCAGGGGGAAAAGUCAGACAUCUAGAAUAAAGAUAUUUUUAAAUGUGUUUGAAGCAAAAAUUUGUCCAUAACCUUAAUAAUUUACAAAAUUUUGCUGUAGCCAUAGUUGAGUGUGUGUGUGUGUCUGUGUUAUGUACAUGUUCAGGCUGAGUGAUGUAAUGUCAGUGCAAUUGAUACAUUUGCCGACAAUAGUCGGGCAGCUAAGGCUGACGUAUCCUUUAUUUAGUAGAAAUAUUGUGCAACCAAGCAGAAGAACAUCUUUCUGUUCUAUUACCUGUAUAAAAUAACUCUGUAUAUGACUAUAAUUAUUGGAUGCCUAUAUCAAAAUCAUAAUUUUAAUGCACAGGGGUAUUAAUAUUAACAUUAACCUUUUUUUUUUAACAAAGCUGGAAAAACAUUUGUCACAUACCAUAUAAUUAACAAUCUCAUAUGUUAAGUUGUUCCCUAGAAAGCUUUUGCUACAGUAUUCAAGGAAAAAAUACGCAUGUGUCCUACAGGGAAGCACCCCAGUAAGAUUAACGUUUGAUCAACCAGCUUAAGUGUAGGUCACACUGCAGUGUACUUUAGAGUUUUAUGGAUGCGGUACAGAUGCCCAGGGCUAAGUUAAUGUUUUUGUACUGUAUGUUAAUAUCACAGAUGGUGAUUUGUGCCUGAAGCCUGGAAUAUUUUUAGUUAUGAUUCAAUGACACAGCACAGUCGAAGGACAAUUUGAGUUUAACUUGCAGAACUGCCACCACACUGUGUGGUGCCAUACACAUGGGUCUAAUAUUUAAGUUUUACAUUAUUUUUCUUUUAAAAAAAAUAGAUUUACAGUCAUGGUAAAAAUUUAUGGCCUCUGUCAGUUCUGAGGUUUACAUAUGAGGGCAUAUUGAAAGUAAAUCAUGCUCUUAAAGUUUCUGAAAUACAACCUCAGACGAACAACAAUGCGUGACGUAUUACACGGUUUAAAAAAAACAAACUAAGCCAAAAUGCAGAAGGAGUGUGUGAAAAGAACAACCAGUGACUGAGUAGCUGGUAGAACCACCUUUAGCAACAAUAACUUGAAUAGCUUCCUGUAUGACUUUAUCAAUCUGCCACAUCAUUGCGGAGGAAUUUUGGUCCACUUUUCUUUAACUUGUUGCCUUUUUUCUUUUUCAGCCAUUCUGUUAUAGAGUUGCUGAUGUGAUUGGAUUCAUUGUCCCGUUGAAAGAACCAGUUUUGGACAAGCUGUAGCUGUCAGACAGAUGCCCUCACAUUUGACUCUAAGAAUACUUUGGUAUACAGAGGAGUUCAUCAUGGUCAAGUUAGUGAUAUCAAGGUGCCCACUUCAUGUGGCUGCAAAACCAGCCCAAAUCAUCACCCGUCCACCAACAUGCCUAAGAGUUGCUAUAAAAUGUUUGUGCAUUUUUUUUGUUGUUGUUUGUUUGUUUUGGGGGGUGUUUUACCAAACAUGAAACUACACACUAUGGUCAGACAUCUCCACUUCUGUUGUUCAGUCUUUUCCUGGUUGCACUGUCACAAAUUUUAACAUUUUGCAUGCUAACUGAGGCCUAUAGACUCUGAUUUGAUUUCUCUAAGCACCUUAGGGCGAAUUUGGUGAUAAGGCUGUACUUAGUUCUUCACACACUACUUCUGCAUUUUUGCUUUGUUGUUGUCUUUAAAAAAAAAAACAUAUUGUAAUAUGUGAAGUUUUAAAGUUCAUCUGAAGUUAUAUUUACCAAGCCAUGGUAAGGACUAGACUAUUAUUUUUCAUAUGUGCGGAUGCUUGAAACCUUAGAAAUGAAAGUUGUUGUUUUUUUUGUUUGUUUGUUUUACCAUUUCUGUGUAUUUGUCAGUUAAAUCCGGUGUGCCUGAGCAACGUUUACAUUCAAAAGUGUUUUUUCUUUUUUAAAAUAAUUUUGCAGCACUCACUCAAAUCUCCUGGCUGCCAACCGGACUUGUGAACUCCUAGCUGGAAUAGGUUUAGUUUCCACAUCUGUGUUCGUUCUGCAACACAGAAGAGGUUGCUGUGACACUGAGACAGGACAGCUUCAAUUAUCCCUUUCAAUUAAAAAAAACAAAAUUUUAAAACGCAAUUUUUGAAGUUGCAUCUCAAUCACUGUGAGUACCCCGCUGUGUCUUGUUCUUUCUUGGCAUCAUUUGAUCUUUGGAUCCAGCUGCCGUCCUUUUUUAAUGUAGACCGCACCCUGAUGUUUUGAAGCACCUGGCUUCUGUUAAUAUCUACAACACACACACACUUUUAUCAGUACUGCAUACCAAGAAAUAGUUUUUUCUUCCAUGUUUAAUCUUAUCAAAUACUCACCUUUUGACAUGCUGCUGAUGUUUUCUCAGAUGUUCAACCUGAGGAAAUAUUUGAUGAUAAACUUUCUGUACGUUUUAUCUGUCAUACUCUACACUCAUUCCCAACUCACCCCCUUUCGCAACCUGUAAAGCUGUAUUCCUAUACACAAAAAACUCAUCCACCAUGAUAAAGUGAUAUUGAAGCAUUUACGCUUUGUUAUUAACACAUGUGGACAGUUAUUAUUAUCUGAAUAAAACCAUUUGAGCAUACCAGAAGACAUUCCACAAUAAAACUUGUGCAAAAAUCUAAUCUGCUUGUAAACACUAUUAACAAAUGUAUCUCGUGCUCUCCCCAGUCUCUCUGCAUCUUGUCAUAUUGCGCAUCUGUUCUGUAUUCUCUUCAAGCGCCUGUUAACAUUUUGACCUGUGCUUAGUGCUUUAAUCUCUUGUGAUGAAUCUUUCUGGAGAUGUGCCAGCCCCAAUUAAGCAGGUCAAAUUCAUUAUUCAUAGAAAAGGAAAGCAAUUCAGAUUUGGUAAUGAGGCCUUCCUCACACAGGCCACGAACAGGGGUGUGAAGUCCAUUUUUGUGCCGUAUUGUGUUCUCACCUGUUUGUGUCAGAGCAGAUCAGUGCCGGUCCUCCUCCGGGUCUCUGUGACACGCAAAUAAGAUGGCAGAAAUACCUCCACCAGAGCCCCCACCCCCUGCAGUUUCAGAUCCCGCCCCCCUCCCCUGUUAGUUUUGAAGUGCCGCACCUGGAUGAUGCUACACAGGCUCAUUGAGCAAGCGGAUAGGCUGGGUGAUAAGAGGGGCAGCACUGUUUUGUGGUUUCGAUUUUUCUGAGUGUGAGAGGUCACAUUCCAGAGAUGUUUUCUAGUGAGAUUUUCAGUCUUUGCUAAGAAGCAAAUUAAAAAUAGGCUUUUAUAACCUGCCUGACAGCUUAAAGGUAUUUAAAUGAACCCUGCAGGUUAGUACUUGAUGCUGUUUUCUUUCCUACUAAUGGCUAUAGCAGGGGAUUAAACUGAACUCAAUUCUGCUCAAUAUUAAUGUAAUCUCUUUAUACACUUAUUGGUGAGACCCUCCACAACAGUCCCAGUUUCUCAUGUGGUCCCAUGGGAAAAUUAAUUGCCCAUCACUGAACAAUAGCCUUUGAAAAAAAGUAGACAACUGAAAACCUGCAUAUCAUUAACCACAAAAGUUUUUUUUUUCAAAUAUAAAAAGCUUGUAGUAUUGUUUCACCCACAACAAAGACUUUCUUUCACAAGCAUACUGUUCCAGUUGGUAGGCUUCUAGGAAUCAAGCGGGACCAGAUCUCAGAGUUGUUAGAAUUUAAUCUACUGUCUCAUCAGACCUUUUUAAUAAUAUUUACAUUGAAAAUCCUUAAACCGAAAUGCCCAUUCUCUCCAGUGAAAAUAAAAGGGCACAGAGAAAAGCUUAACCUCAUUAUUUGAUGUUUACUUUACAUUUUAAUAAACUGAAAUAUUCACAUUUUGGUCUGUGGGUGUACAGGGGACUCUGUGUGCAAAAGAAAUUAAUGCGGUUUUUAGUUCUUGUUAUGACUGGUUCAUAGGGUAAACAGCAGGUUGGUGGUUGAAUUGCUGGCUGUUCCAGUUUGCAUGCCGAAAGCAUCCUUGGGCAAGAUACUGAACCCUGAGUUAUUUCCAAUGUGUUCAUUGGAGUGUGAGUGUUAGACAGGAAGUACUUUAUGUGUGAAUAAACAUAUUGUAUAAAGUCCUUUGAGUGCUCAGGUAGAGCAGAAGCCAGUAUAUAAGAACUGGUCCAUUUACUUUUCAGGUUUUUAAAUGUAAGAGUAUUCGCUUUCUUUCACUGAGGCUAACUCAAAACCUGUAGAGAUGCCAUGAAAAUGUUUAACUUUUUUUUGUAACUGUGUCAUUCUUUUUUACUUUUCCAGUUUCCUUACUUCAGUUUGUAAAGUUUCACAAUAGGGAUGGAUGUGUGUGUGUGGGUGCACAAGUAUAAGUAUAUAUAUCUGUAAAUUUGUAUAUCUUUUGACGUGUUACUCACGUUAUAAAAGCAAAUACAUGUAACAAAUUGUAAGGAAGAAUUUAUGAUGGGUAGUGCAUGGACAGGAAGAAAAAGUGUUGACUAUUAGUUACUAAAUUGUGGAAAGGUGGUGGGAUUAAAUAAGCUUAUGCUUUUUCCUACUCCUUUUUGAACAUGUAAGUUAUUUAUAAUUAUUAUUGUUUUGUUUUCCUUUAGUUUUGAUUUGCUUGUUUGUCUAUUUAAACAUGUUCAAAAUAAAGAUACAAUAAAAUUACAAAUAAAAGUAUUGCUGCU
ensembl:lncRNA